rnacentral:lncRNA from 1 species
CAUGGUGCUGGGCAAGAAGUACCUGGACAAGGAUGCGGGGGGGUCGGUGACGACGCCGGAGGAGUUCAAGUGGAUGCUCGACGAGCUGUUCCUGCUCAACGGCGUGCUCAACAUCGGCGACUCCAUCCCGUGGCUCGACUGGCUGGACCUGCAGGGGUACAUCAAGAGGAUGAAGAAGCUCGGCAAGAUGUUCGACCGGUUCCUGGAACACGUCGUGGACGAGCACAACGAGCGCCGCCGCCGCGAGGGGGAGAGCUUCGUGGCCAAGGACAUGGUGGACGUGCUGCUGCAGUUCGCUGACAAUCCCAACCUUGAGGUCAAGCUCAAGAGGGAAGGUGUCAAGGCAUUCACUCAGGUGAGUCUUUCUGUCACUGCAUUUCUGCCCCCAAAAAAUGUUUUCAGAUCAACUUCAAAUAUCUACACGCUUCAAUAAACUGGAAAAUCACAUACUAAUACUGUAAUUAAUAGGAACAAUCUUGAAUGGGUGCAGUCACAAACUCUCAGAAUGAUAGCUGCAGGCUGCAACUAUGUACUCGUAGCAUUCUUGUUAGUCAACUUCUGAAACUUGACCGUGACAUAAAUUAUUUAUUUCUUAGUAGGAUAUUGGGAUACUACGUAUGGUAGGGUUGUCAUUUAUCAUAGCCAAACCACAUUAUUAAUUACUAGUUUCAAUCAGAAAACGGACUUACAUAAAAGAUCGGAGUUGCCCAAAUGGACGUCACUAUCCAUUAGGGAAAUGAAUGUGCUUGCCACAGAGCUAGCCCACACAACUAUGAACUGUCUGAAUAUCUUGUCUGCCCAAAGAGCUUGCAGAUUCCGUUGCUGAUAAGCAUGGGACGUCAAUCAUUGCAAGCAGCACUGACCCCCUCCUGUGAUCUAAACAGUGCAGAAUAAGUUUAUAACUGAACAAAAACAACAUUAAAAAACAAUUUUCAGACUGCAGAUCAACACUCUUCAUUAUGUCUUAAAUCUUAUAACAAUGCAUCAUAUCACUGGAGUGUUACUUAGUCCAUUGUUGAUCACCAUUACAACACCAUCUAAGUAGCAACAAUUCAGCAAUUCACAUCGAUCGUUACGUGCAGGACCUCAUCGCUGGCGGCACAGAGAGCUCGGCGGUGACCGUGGAGUGGGCGCUGUCGGAGCUCCUGAAGAAGCCGGAGGUGUUCGCCAAGGCCACCGAGGAGCUGGACCGCGUCGUGGGCCGCGGCCGCUGGGUCACGGAGAAGGACGUCCCGAGCCUCACCUACGUGGACGCCAUCGUGAAGGAGACCAUGCGGCUGCACCCGGUGGCGCCCAUGCUGGUGCCCCGCCUGUCCCGCGAGGACACGUCCGUCGACGGCUACGACAUCCCCGCCGGCACGCGGGUGCUCGUCAGCGUGUGGACCAUCGGCCGCGACCCCAAGCUGUGGGACGCGCCGGAGGAGUUCAUGCCGGAGAGGUUCAUCGGCAACAAGAUCGACGUGAAGGGGCAGGACUUCGAGCUGCUGCCGUUCGGGUCGGGCCGGCGGAUGUGCCCCGGCUACAGCCUUGGGCUGAAGGUGAUCCAGCUGAGCCUCGCCAAUCUGCUGCACGGCUUCGCGUGGAGGCUGCCCGACGGCGUGACGAGGGAGCAGCUGAGCAUGGAGGAGAUCUUCGGCUUGUCGACGCCGCGCAAGUUCCCGCUUGAGGCUGUCGUCGAGCCCAAGCUGCCCGCUCACCUCUAUGCUGCUGCCUGAUGUGAUAUGCCUUUGAUGAUGUGCGUGUGUACGUUCUGUGUCUCUUGACUGUACUGUAGGCACUGCUCCUGUCGCGGUCCAACAUUAAGCUUGCAGUGUAUUGCUAGCGUUGUUACUUAUUAUGCAUCCUGUGCUGCCUUUGUAGAGCUGAAUGUAAUAGGGCAAGUGUGAGUCAAUAAUAUGCUUGAUAAUAAGGUGUUAUGCGAUAUUGGAGUGUCGUGCACAAAAUAGAUUCAUCAUACUGGCAGUAGAUAUUCCCUAUGAAAAAAAACCACUGUCGCAGAUAUGUAGGAAGUAGGAUAAGUCCAUAUUGCCCACCUCAACUAGUUAUUUUUUACGAGCUGGCUCGGCUCGUUUGAGCUCGUUAUCUUAACGAGCCUGUUAACGAUCCAGAAGCUUAGCUCGGCUUGGCUAGUCUCAUAAGUUGACUUAUUAAGCUAGUUAGUUAGGCUUGUUAACGUAUUUAUUCUACCUUCAUAAUUUCACAUUUACCAUUUUAUCAUAUAUAAACAUGAAAAUAAACACUAACUAAUAAAUAAUUCACUAAAUAUAAAUAGUUCGGUUGUAUUUAAAUGACUGAAUACUAGUUAAAAUCACGAAGUACAUGAAGAUAUGUUGAUUUCUUGUAUUAACGAGCUAAACGAGCAGUUCGCGAGCUUCAUGAGCUAAAAGUCUACUUUGGCUCGACUUAUUAAGACUACAAAUUCGACUCAAUCCGAGCCAAGCUCGCUACGAGCUUUAAGUUUUUUGUCCACCCCAAGUCCAAACUCCAAACACACCCUUUAACUUUAACUUUAAUAUUGUAUAAAGAAACAUUCUCAACUCUUAAAACCAUUUAAAGAAUUUAUUCUCAUAAAAGUCCUCAAUUACUCCCACCGUCAUAAACAACCAAUCAAAAAGCUCAAAUUUCUACUAGAAAUGUAGCUAUAUUUUUUAACAGAGGAUAAAUUAUGUUUAUUUUGCCUAGCAUGGCCUUUUGAAUGCAUAUGUUACUAUAAAAUCCAAGAAAUAAGUGAUUGCACUCAAGCUUGAUUUUGAGAAGGCAUUUUGGUAAAACUGAAUAGAGUGUAAUCCUAGAGAUUCUGAUAUGUAAAGGGAUUGGCAACUGUGGAUUGAUUGGGUAGAAAAAAAAAUCUAAAAAUCUACAACUUUUUCCAUUUUAUUGAAUGGAGUGCCCCAGGGAAAAAAAUCUCAAUCCAGAAGGGGAGUGAGACAAGGAGUCUCAUUCAACUCUCCUUUUUUAACUAGCAACAGACCUCCUACAAUCUAUUCACAAUAAAGCUAUGACCUAUGAACAGAGGGACCUUGCAAUCUUCACUGACAAUUUCAACUUGUACGUGUCUUGACUUACUAGUAAUACAAUAUGCGGAUGACACGCUCCUAGUAAUAUAUGUAUGCUCUAGACAAUUGUUUUGACUCAAAGCUUUUUACAUACAUUUUGUGGACUCGACUAGUCUAAGAAUAAACUUCAACAAAUCAUUCAUGGUGCCAAUUAAUGUGUCAGAAGAAAAGAUGAAGAUUCCCACAAAUACUCUGCAAUGACGCAACGAUCCUUUCCUUUCAGUUACCUUGGAUUACCUUUAAGUCUCACCAAACCACUCAUACAUGAUUUCUUCCCAAUAGUAUAGAGAAUUAAAAGAAGGCUCGUCUCCUGUUCCAUUUAUCUUUCUUAUGGAAAUAGGCUCGAUCUGGUUAACUAUGUGCUUUCUGCUAACUUUCUACAUGUGCCAACUGAAACUUCCAGUUAAGAGUUGUGGAGCAAAUUGAUAAAAACAGAAGACAUCGUCUAUGGAGAGGGUUAGACAUGGGAAGCAAAUUAAACACUCCUCUUGUUUGGAAUAAAGUUUGCAUGUCACUGUAUUCUUAAAAAUGUUUAUAUUUUGAGAUGUAUGGGGUACUCUACAUGGUGCACGGCUGUAUGCCUACCUACUGUUGCUUACUCAUUGAUAGCAUUGUUGCAGUUUCUUAUAGCUUCUCUGUCUCAAAAGAAAAUGACUACCUCAACAGGUCAUACAAAAAGUACACCAUUUAUCAAUGCAAUUUGUUCUAUUGUAAAAUAGAUACCAAUUGAUCAGAGGUACAUAUCCUAUAUGUACAAACUUCUCGUGCACGCUCCAUGCACACCAACAAGCAAAUGGCACGAAAAUUUCUACGAAUAAUUGAACAUUUACUCCUAAUAGUAUUAAACAUAUCUGCAAAGUCUCAUAUUCAAAUUCAUUAUAUUUUAGCCGUAACAAAAAAGUGAAAAAUCUGACAAUUUAAAAGUAAAAAUCUGUUAGAAAUUUGUUUUUUUUGUUACGGCUAAAAUAUAAUGUAUUUGAAUAUAAGAUUUCACACGUAAGUAUAAUACCAUUGGAAUUAUGUGUCUAAUUUUUUCUGGAUUUUUCUGUGACAUUUGUCAGUUGGUGUGUUAGGAGUGUACACGGGAAAUAUAUUCCCUUCCAGAUCACGAGAUUAAUUAGCAACUUGGGCAAUUAACCACAGUGGUUUUUUAACAUGACCAGUACAAGUUGACUAAUGAUUGUCUUUAUUUAUGCCAAGUGCAAACAAAACAUCGAUCGAAUGCCCAUAUGCAGCCUGAAUUCUCAAUGGUAUAUCUAUUGCGUUAGCAAGCCACUCCCUCUUGCGAUCUAUAAAAGUUCGCCCGUGGUUCAGUCAUCUUCACCAGCCAAGAUACAUUUUUCAGAUGGAGUUUCUACUAUGGGUAUCCUACCUUACCAUCACACUCGCCACCAUCCUCUUAUUUCUUAGAACCCUGAUCUUGAGGCACAACCGCCGGGUGUACAACCUCCCUCCUGGGCCUAAGCCAUGGCCAAUCAUCGGCAACCUCAACCUCAUGGGCUCACUCCCACACCGCUCCAUCCACAGCCUCUCCAAGAAGUACGGUCCCCUGAUGCACCUCAGGUUCGGGUCCUUCCCCGUCGUCGUUGGCUCGUCGGUGGAGAUGGCCAAGUUCUUCCUCAAGACCCACGACGUGGUGUUCGCCGACCGGCCCAAGACCGCCGCCGGCAAGCACACCACCUACAACUACAGCGACAUGACGUGGUCGCCCUACGGCGCGUACUGGCGCCAGGCGCGCAAGGUGUGCCUCGCCGAGCUCUUCAGCGCCAAGCGGAUCGAGUCGUACGAGCACAUCCGCCGCGAGGAGGUGCGCGCGCUGCUCCGCGAUCUGCACGCGGCGUCCGGGCGCGUGGUGGCGCUCAAGGACUACCUGUCCGCGGCGAGCCUGAACGUGAUCUCGCGCAUGGUGCUCGGCAAGAAGUACCUGGAGCGCGAGGUGGUGCACGAGGGAGAAGUGGUGACGACGCCCGAGCGGUUCAGGUGGAUGAUCGAUGAGCUCUUCCUGCUUAACGGCGUGCUCGACAUUGGGGAUUCGAUCCCGUGGUUGGGCUGGCUGGACCUGCAGGGGUACAUUCGGAGGAUGAAGAAGCUGAGCAAGAUGUUUGAUCAGUUCCUGGAAUAUGUAUUGGACGAGCAUGAGAACCGGAUGUGUCGCGAGGGGGAGAG